rnacentral:rRNA from 1 species
AUUGAACGCUGGCGGCAUGCCUAACACAUGCAAGUCGAGCGAGCGGCGGACGGGUGAGUAAUGGCUGGGAACAUGCCUGAUGGAGGGGGAUAACUACUGGAAACGGUAGCUAAUACCGCAUCCCAUCAGAUGUGCCCAGAUGGGAUUAGCUAGUAGGUGGGGUAAUGGCUUACAUAGGCGACGAUCCCUAGCUGGACUGAGAGGCUGAUCAGCCACACUGGAACUGAGACACGGUCCAGACUCCUACGGGAGGCAGCAGUGGGGAAUAUUGCACAAUGGGCGCAAGCCUGAUGCAGCCAUGCCGGGUGUGUGAAGAAGGCUUUCGGAUUGUAAAGCACUGUCAGCGGGGAGGCGUUACCCGCAGAGAAAGCACCGGCUAACUCCGUGCCAGCAGCCGCGGUAAUAC